rnacentral:rRNA from 1 species
AUGCAAGAGCUAAUGGGACAGCGUGGUGGUGCGGCAAGCCCACAAAAUGCAGGGCAACAAAAGGCUCAGGAAGAUGCAAAGCUGGAAGCUGAGGAACGCCGGCAGAUGAUGCUUGCUCAGAUACUGUCUUCUGAAGCUAGAGAAAGAAUCUCCCGCAUAGCUUUGGUCAAGCCUGAUAAAGCAAGAGGAGUGGAGGAUGUUCUGCUGAGAGCUGCACAAACUGGUGGAAUAUCUGAAAAGGUGUCUGAAGAAAGGCUUAUCUCACUUCUGGAGCAAAUCAACACCCACACAAGCAAACAAACCAAAGUGACGAUUCAGAGGCGUCGCUUUGACGACGAUGACUAG